AUAACUACUACAUUGUUCUAUUAAACUGAUAAUGCAUCGAGAAGAAUUAAAAGUUAGAUAACAUAUUUUCUAUAAUAGAAAAAAUGGAAUAUUCCAAGUACAUGAACCUCGUACACAUCAGAAGAAAACCGAUUACGAAAAGUGAAUAGAAAUGAUUAUUAAACCUUCCAACACUUCUCUCUCUUGGUGGUAGAUUUUUUAUAAUACAGUAUGUUCCGAAUUAUUUACGAUUUAAAAAAUAGGUAUGAUCACUUCGCUGAUAUUCUGAUCGCUUUUAACAAAUAGAUGUUCUAGUGCAUGAAUUAUAAAUGGAUGAAUAUUAAUACCUAAAUCGUUAUUCUUCAUAGUACGUAUAAUACAUAGCGUUGCGCCUCCAAAAAAAAUAUAGUGAAUCAAACUCCGUCGAUUAAAAAUCAGUUAAAUGUGAAAAUACUAAGCAUUUUGUCACACGAAAACAAAAAUAUGAAUCACCCUAUGUGUACAUUCAAAAAGUCUGUCUUCAAGAGACGCUAGGUGAAGAAAAUGAUUAUUUCCUGCGAUUAGCGUUUUCUGACCCAUUUGAAUUGGGCGCCGUAACUCUCUAUGUGCAAGCAUAGUACACAGCGGAUUUCUACUUUUCAGAAUGGCGGUCUUCUGAUAUUUUCGUCCGCAUAGCUUGUUUGGUUCAGUUAUCGUUAUUUUUUCGAUUAAUAUUCCAAUUUUUAAUGAGUUGCAAAAUGAAGAAAAGCAACUCAAGAACACGUUCUACUGUCAACUUUGUCUUAAAAAAUAGAAUUUAAACUUCAUUAAGCCCAAAUUAUGACAUAAACAAAGAAAAUGUAUGUUUCUCAAACGCACCUGUGAAAAAAAAUAUUCACACAAAUGGACAGAAAUCUCACUUCAAAAUUUGAGUGGUAUCAGUCACAAUGACACACUAAAUAAUAGUCUCAAUAAUUUAGACCUGGGUAUAGAAUUACAAACAUUUGCAGGAAUUUUUGUAAAUAGUAUCUGUAGUAUCUAAGGAGUCUAUCUAUCUAUCUACGUAAUUUCACAAUUUACAUAAAUAAUAACAAGGACGCGCAUUGUUAUGUUUCAUCUCGUGAGAAUUACAGCAGAUUACAAAGUUUCAAAUCCAGCAAUUAAAAUUAAAUUAAAAUUAAAAAAAGGCCAUACUAUGGUGGAAGUAGACUCCGUACAUUCAUCAUUAGUACAUUACUUCAAAGCUCCUAUUUUUACGCCCGCCGAAUAUGUAAGCAGAAUGAGACAGGCGAGAUCUAAACAGCCUUAUUCGAUAAACCAAGUGAAUUACUCUUUUUUUAAAGACUUUGAGAGCCUUCCAAACAAUUUCUCAUCGAUAAGCUGAUCCAACAGUUGUAAAUAUCAGGACUAUUCUCUAUGAAAACGAUAAAUUCUCUUACAAAAUCAGACACAGCGAUGAAUGACCUCCUGUCUCAACGUAGACUUAGUCACAAUAUCAAUCCUCUAAAAAAUUGUACAAGAACAGCUAAAAAUUGAAACGUCAACGUAUAAUGUAUUGCAGUCUUUAAAAGAAUCAAUGCAUAAGUCCUAUUACUAAUAUCCAUGUGAAACAAAUGAUUUUUACUUUGUUUUUCAAUUCUAAUAUGUUUGACGAUAAUUAUCGAUUCUGUUGUUUAUAAAUUUUAAUGAAUUUCUUGAUUUAUUUAAAUAAAAUGAUAAAAAAUGAUUUUUUGUACUACUUCCUUAUGCUUCUUCAGUUUACGAAAACAGCUAUGUGCAAAUAAAAAAUAUCCAAAUCCGCUAUGUGUAUACCAAAUAAAAAAAUAAUUUCUUUACAAAAGUACUGGAUUUAUGAAUAGAAUAACGCUUUACCAAUAAAAUUUGUCAAUCGUUUUUGUUUAAUGGUUCCCUAUUUGUAUAUUGAUAGUGAAAAAUAAUUUGGUAAUAACAUUAUUUAUUAUUUAUUUAUUAUUAUUAUUAUGAACUUGUAAACUCACAUUUUGUGGGUUUACUUUAUCAUUAACAAAAAAUAAAAGCGUUUUUCACAAAAUGUUGGCCAGAAGUUUAUAGUAGAAAAGGAGAAACAAUAUAAUUUCAAUAAACUAGAAAUAAAUUUCAUAGACUUUGUGAUUUUUAAAAGGAAGAAAUAAAAUUCGAAUCCUUAUUUUCAGAGUACUAGGGUUGUAUGAAAAGGUUUAUUGAGUUUUUUUGUCAGAAAAUCGUUCAUAAUGAUAACAUGUAAGAUGGUGUGUUAAACGCACAAGUUUUCUAUAACUACAGAAUUUCAGCUACUAUCAGACUUUUUGCCGAUUUUCAAUUAUUAUUUACUUUUGUUUGGCUGAGUUAUUCAUAUAUUUUAUUUUACACCACCCUAUUGUUUCGAACUUAGUCCGGUCCUUAGUUCAAUUUUGGUCAUUAUUCAUACAAUCUUGGAUAUAUCUACAUUUGAAGGAUUAAAUAAAAUACAGUAAAAA